CCUACGGGAGGCAGCAGUGGGGAAUAUUGGGCAAUGGGCGCAAGCCUGACCCAGCAACGCCGCGUGAGGGAAGAAGGCCUUCGGGUUGUAAACUCCUUUUCUCAGGGACGAAAAAAGUGCCGGUCCCUGCGUUACGAGCCACCGCUAACUACGUGCCAGCAGCCGCGGUAAUACGUCGGUGGCAAGCGUUAUCCGGAUUUAUGGGGUGUAAAGGUCGUGUAGGUGGGAGGGCAAGUCAGAUGUGAAAACUCAGGGCUCAACCCUGGGCCUGCAUUUGAAACUGGGUUUCUUGAGUGCUGGAGAGGCAAUCGGAAUUCCGGGUGUAGCGGUGAAAUGCGUAGAUAUACGGAGGAACACCAGUGGCGAAGGCGGAUUGCUGGACAGUAACUGACGCUGAGGCGCGAAAGCGUGGGGAGCAAACAGGAUUAGAUACCCCGGUAGUC
rnacentral:rRNA from 1 species